UACGUAGGGUGCAAGCGUUAAUCGGAAUUACUGGGCGUAAAGCGUGCGCAGGCGGUUUUGUAAGUUUGUCGUGAAAGCCCCGGGCUCAACCUGGGAAUGGCGAUGAAGACUGCAAGGCUUGAAUCUGGCAGAGGGGGGUAGAAUUCCACGUGUAGCAGUGAAAUGCGUAGAUAUCGGGAGGAACCCCAGUGGCGAAAGCGGCUACCUGGCCCAUUCUUGACGCUGAGGCGCGAAAGCUAGGGGAGCAAACGGG
rnacentral:rRNA from 1 species